AACGAACGCUGGCGGCAUGCCUAACACAUGCAAGUCGAACGAGACCUUCGGGUCUAGUGGCGCACGGGUGCGUAACGCGUGGUAACCUGCCCUUAGGUUCGGAAUAACUCCCCGAAAGGUGUGCUAAUACCGGAUAAUGUCUUCGGACCAAAGAUUUAUCGCCUUUGGAUGGGCCCGCGUUGGAUUAGCGAGUUGGUAGGGUAAAAGCCUACCAAGGCGACGAUCCAUAGCUGGUCUGAGAGGAUGAUCAGCCACACUGGGACUGAGACACGGCCCAGACUCCUACGGGAGGCAGCAGUGGGGAAUAUUGGACAAUGGGCGAAAGCCUGAUCCAGCAAUGCCGCGUGAGAGAUGAAGGCCUUAGGGUUGUAAAGCUCUUUUACCCGGGAUGAUAAUGACAGUACCGGGAGAAUAAGCUCCGGCUAACUCCGUG
rnacentral:rRNA from 1 species